CAGUACGACACGAGGAGAAAGUGCCAUGUC
rnacentral:piRNA from 1 species